UACGAAGGGGGCUAGCGUUGCUCGGAAUCACUGGGCGUAAAGGGUGCGUAGGCGGGUCUUUAAGUCAGGGGUGAAAUCCUGGAGCUCAACUCCAGAACUGCCUUUGAUACUGAGGAUCUUGAGUUCGGGAGAGGUGAGUGGAACUGCGAGUGUAGAGGUGAAAUUCGUAGAUAUUAGGAAGAACACCAGUGGCGAAGGCGGCUCACUGGUCCGGAACUGACGCUGAGGUGCGAAAGCGUGGGGAGCAAACAGG
rnacentral:rRNA from 1 species